UACGAAGGGGGAGCUAGCGUUGUUCGGAAUUACUGGGCGUAAAGCGCACGUAGGCGGAUCGUUAAGUCGGGGGUGAAAUCCUGGAGCUCAACUCCAGAACUGCCUUCGAUACUGGCGAUCUCGAGUUCGGGAGAGGUGAGUGGAACUGCGAGUGUAGAGGUGAAAUUCGUAGAUAUUCGCAAGAACACCAGUGGCGAAGGCGGCUCACUGGCCCGAUACUGACGCUGAGGUGCGAAAGCGUGGGGAGCAAACAGG
rnacentral:rRNA from 1 species